GUGAGGAAUUUUCCGCAAUGGGCGAAAGCCUGACGGAGCAAUGCCGCGUGAAGGAUGAAGGCCUAUGGGUUGUAAACUUCUUUUCUCAGAAAAGAAUUAUGACGGUAUCUGAGGAAUAAGCAUCGGCUAACUCUGUGCCAGCAGCCGCGGUAAGACAGAGGAUGCAAGCGUUAUCCGGAAUGAUUGGGCGUAAAGCGUCUGUAGGUUGUUUAAAAAGUAUUCUGUCAAAGAUUAGGGCUUAACCCUAGAUAGGCAGAAUAAACUUUUAAGCUAGAGUUGUGUAGAGGCAGAGGGAAUUCCCGGUGGAGCGGUGAAAUGCGUAGAUAUCGGGAGGAACACCAAAGGCGAAGGCACUCUGCUGGGCCAAUACUAACACUGAGAGACGAAAGCGAGGGGAGCAAAUGGGAUUAGAUACCCGGGUAGUCC
rnacentral:rRNA from 1 species